UGAAUACGAGAUGCUACGGCGUCGAAGCAGUGUAUGUCAGACUUCCAAGAAAAGCUCGCAAUGUCAUAAAUAAAGAAUGCCUGUACCAUAACCGACACAGGUGGGUAGGUAGAGUAUACUAAGGGGCGCGAGAUAACUCUCUCUAAGGAACUCGGCAAAAUAACUCCGUAACUUCGGGAGAAGGAGUGCCUUCUUUAAGAAGGUUGCAAUAACAAGAUCCAAGCAACUGUUUAUCAAAAACACAGGUCUCCGCUAAGUCGUAAGACGAUGUAUGGGGGCUGACGCCUGCCCAGUGCCAGAAGGUUAAAGAAGUUGGUUAGCUUUUGCGAAGCUGGUGACUGAAGCCCUGGUGAACGGCGGCCGUAACAAUAACGGUCCUAAGGUAGCGAAAUUCCUUGUCGGGUAAGUUCCGACCCGCACGAAAGGCGUAAUGAUUUGGAUACUGUCUCGGAGAGGGACUCGGUGAAAUAGACUUGUCUGUGAAGAUGCGGACUACCUGCACCAGGACAGAAAGACCCUAUGAAGCUUUACUGUAACUUGAAAUUGAAAUUGGACUUUAUUUGCGCAGUAUAGGUGGAAGGCGUUGAAAGUAAUCUUGCGGGAUUAGUGGAGCCAUCAGUGAGAUACCACUCCUAUAAUGUUAGAUUUCUAACUUUGGAUCAUGAUCUGGUCAAAGAACAGUUUCAGGCGGGCAGUUUGACUGGGGCGGUCGCCUCCCAAAUGGUAACGGAGGCGUACAAAGGUUUCCUCUGAACGGGUAGAAAUCGUAUCUAGAGUGUAAAGGCAUAAGGAAGCUUGACUGUGAGACCUACAAGUCGAGCAGGGACGAAAGUCGGUCUUAGUGAUCUGACGGUGCUGAGUGGAAAGGCCGUCACUCAACGGAUAAAAGUUACUCUAAGGAUAACAGGCUGAUCUCCCCCAAGAGUUCACAUCGACGGGGAGGUUUGGCACCUCGAUGUCGGCUCAUCGCAUCCUGGGGCGGUAGUACGUCCCAAGGGUUGGGCUGUUCGCCCAUGAAAGCGGUACGCGAGCUGGGUUCAGAACGUCGUGAGACAGUUCGGUCCAUAUCCGGUGUAGGCUUAGAAUAUUGAGAGGAGCCUUCUUUAGUACGAGAGGACCGAGAAGGACAUACCUCUGGUGUACCAGUUAUCGUGCCAACGGUAAACGCUGGGUAGCUAUGUAUGGAGAGGAUAACCGCUGAAAGCAUCUAAGUGGGAAGCCCACCUCAAGAUGAGUAUUCUC
rnacentral:rRNA from 1 species